rnacentral:rRNA from 1 species
GACGAACGCUGGCGGCGUGCUUAACACAUGCAAGUGGUGCGACGAACCAGGGCUUGCCCUGGGGCAAAGCCGCGAACGGGUGAGUAACACGUGGGUAAUCUGCCCCAAUGACCGGGACAACCCGAGGAAACUCGGGCUAAUACCGGAUGUGGUGCCUAGGCGUAAGCCUUGGUCACUAAAGGAAGCUUCGGCCUCCGCAUUGGGAGGAGCCCGCGGCCCAUUAGCUUGUUGGUGAGGUAACGGCUCACCAAGGCUUCGAUGGGUAGCUGGUCUGAGAGGACGAUCAGCCACACUGGGACUGAGACACGGCCCAGACUCCUACGGGAGGCAGCAGUGGGGAAUCUUGCGCAAUGCGCGAAAGCGUGACGCAGCAACGCCGCGUGGGGGAAGACGGCCUUCGGGUUGUAAACCCCUUUCAGGAGGGACGAAGGUUCACCGGUGAAUAGCCGUGUGGAUUGACGGUACCUCCACAAGAAGCACCGGCUAACUACGUGCCAGCCGCCGCGGUAACAC